AUCAGGAACAAAAACAGAAGUUGCUGGAAAAGCUCAACAGCUCUGGCAGCAUCUGUGAAAAAAGAAAAAAAAAUCAUCUCCGGUGACCCUUCCUCAGAACAGCAACGUUCCGGCUGGUGUUUGCACGCAUGCGCAGCGUUAUUCUGACCGCCGUAAGCUGGUGAUUACCGGUUUUGUCAGAGCUGGUAAAGGAACAAAGAAUAAGCUAUUGGGGAAACAGUGAAGGUGUUGUGUCACCGUGCCUGGAGACAGCCUUUGAACCGAUGUUAUUCUACUCUGCUGGGAAUUUAUGCUGUCCGGUCCGUUAUGGGGGAGAGAGUACAAGAGGAAAGGAAACCAAAGCACGCAGCGCCUUCGGCUGAGAGAGAAAUGAAGAACUGCCGGAGAUUUUCCAAACCCUGACACAGGGGUUGCCUCUCUCUCUCUCGACAGUCUCUGCGACUGUCCCAUCAAACCCCACACCCAUUCCCGUCCCAUGGUGUCUCUCCACAAACCCACCUCCGGGUGGAAAUGCAAACACAAGUUGCUGGAAAUGCUCAGCAUCUGUGAAGAAAAAGUCCCGAGGUAGCGUUUUGGGUGCGAUGACCCUUUCCCUUCGAGCUCUGGCUAGAAAUGCUCCAGCCUCUGAGACAGGGUCCCCUUGAGGUCGGAGAGCUGCGGGUCGAUCUCGGCUGUUCGCUUGGCGUCAGGAGCUCCCCUCAGCCCCAGGAAGGGGUAUGAUCACCCCCUAACCUUAUACUGACAGUGGUUGUGUCCUUCCCUCAUCCCCGGGAGCCCCUCCUGCCUUCUCACCUUGUCGCCGGGGUGCUAUUCGACUACGGAGGGCUGUGCGAUAAAGAUCCUACUUCCCACAGCAGCAGGGGGAGGGGGCAUCCCUUCGCUCCUAAAACACCCCCUCCCAUCCAAUCUUGUGGCAAUGGCUGUUCGGCUGCAGAAAGCGGCGCUGCCCGUGACCCCAAACCUCCCGACAACACCCCUCUCCUAAUCCGACCCUUUUGCAGUAGCUGUAGGCCACUCAGUCACUGGGCUGCACAAUAGUGACUCUCCCCAUGUCCACUCACUUCCAGGGCGGCUAUCCUCCAACCCCGACCCCAUCCCAUCCGCCUCCUUCCCUUUACCAUGUGGUACGAGAGCUGCAGGCUGGUCGGCUACGGAAACCCGCGCAGGGCUGGAUAAUAGACACCCUCCCAAUGUCCCCAGCCUUCCCCUCACCCGGGGAGGGGAAUUCUCACCCCCAAAACAUCCAUUCCCAACACCUCGCUUUGGGAUAGGAGCGGCGCAGGAUGUGAAACAGGGACCGUGCUCAUGUCCCCAAUCCUCCCUUCACCCCAAACCACCACCCCCAGCUUACCUUGCAGUAGGAGACAGUUGUACGCUGCUCAGCUACGGAAGGCGUCGCGGACCCGCGGCCGGGUGCGCGGGUUCGGUGCCAGGCAGCUGUGCCCAGGCGCCGGGCGAAGAGGCCUUCUCCCACCUUGGAUCCCCGCUCCCGGCACAGGCGGCGCAGGGCCGAGCCACUGAGCAGCGAGCACUCCAGCAGCCCAGAUGCCUGCUCCCAGCCCCGUGGUCAUGUUGGAGGCCGCUGGAGAACAGGAGGUUGUAGGGGUCCGGGAGCAUGGUGCGAUGAUCCCUAGUGCCGAACAGCUGGGUCCUCAGAACCCUCCCGGGAAAAGGGUUCCAGACAGCGGACUCGUCGUCGAGGGAGAGGGGAAGAAAGGCGUGAGUAGGAACAGGAGAGGAAGGGGAUUGACUGAGAGGGAGAAAGAGACAGAUUCUGUGUGUGUGUGAGAAAGAGGGGAUUAGAAAUGCAGUCUGAUUGCGGAUGGGUUGGGUUUAAACAGAGAUUUUUAAACUUUGUUCAAAAAAACUCAACGCUCCCUGCUGAGCAGGUGGAGAGGCUCGGACAGAGAGGAAGAGAGGCACAGGGAAGUGGGGACAGACAUGUUCACAGGGAGAGACGGGAGAGAGAACGGCAGAAGCACACACAGAGGGAGCCAGAUACCAGACGAGAGAUGGAGAGGGGCGCACACAUAGACCAAAGAGACAGAGUGAGAGAGGAGAGAGACAGAAGUGCACAGCGAGGUGGCAGAGACAAGACGACAGAGAGAGACAGAGACACAGAGUGAGGCACAUACAGAGAGAUGGAGAGACAGAGAUUGUGUGUGUGGCGGGGGGUGGGUUUGGAGGAAAUGGGAGAGAGAGAGACAGAGUCGCGAGUUGUACAGCAGGGAAACAGACCCUUCAGUCCAACUCCACAAGGCCGACCAGACACCGUAACUGACUCGUUCUGUUUGCCAGCCUGGAGCCCACAUCCCUCCAGCCCCUUCCUAUUCAUGUGUCCCUGCAGGUGACUUCUAAAUACUGUGAGUAUAACAGCCUCUGCCGCUCCUCUGGCAGUUCAUGCCACACACAAGCUACACUCGGGAGAACACGUUGGCGCCAAAUCCCCCUCCCAUCCGCUGAGAAAAGGAACCGGAAAUGACAUCACCAACCCGAGGAAACCGGAACACUUAAAGAGAAGGCGGGACCUAACUCCAGCGCUUCCCCGGAUGCUCCCUGAUGAUUUGACCGGGAACGGAGUUGAAACGUCUGCAAACUAACCUUCCAGCUCAGUGAGCAAUCUUACACCCAGAACCUCAACCCUGAGCUACAAAUCUUCUCAAAACUCGAUAAUGCUUUGCCACUUGAU